GACGUAGGGCGCGAGCGUUGUCCGGAUUUAUUGGGCGUAAAGAGCUCGUAGGCGGCUUGUUGCGUCGACUGUGAAAACCUGCGGCUCAACCGUGUGGUCUGCAGUCGAUACGGGCAGGCUGGAGUUCGGUAGGGGAGACUGGAAUUCCUAGUGUAGCGGUGAAAUGACGCAGAUAUCAGGAGGAACACCGGUGGCGAAGGCGGGUCUCUGGGCCGAUACUGACGCUGAGGAGCGAAAGCGUGGGGAGCGAACAGG
rnacentral:rRNA from 1 species